rnacentral:rRNA from 1 species
UACAGAGGGGGCAAGCGUUAUUCGGAAUUAUUGGGCGUAAAGGGCGCGUAGGCGGCAUGGCAAGUGGAUGGUGAAAUCCCUCGGCUUAACCGAGGAACUGCCGUCCAAACUGCUUCGCUUGAGACCGGGAGAGGUGAGUGGAAUUCCCAGUGUAGCGGUGAAAUGCGCAGAUAUCAGGAAGAACACCCGUGGCGAAGGCGGCUCUCUGGGACGGUACUGACGCUGAGACGCGAAAGCGUGGGGAGCGAACAGG